rnacentral:rRNA from 1 species
AUACGUAGGUGGCAAGCGUUGUCCGGAAUUAUUGGGCGUAAAGCGCGCGCAGGCGGUCCUUUAAGUCUGAUGUGAAAGCCCACGGCUCAACCGUGGAGGGUCAUUGGAAACUGGGGGACUUGAGUGCAGAAGAGGAAAGUGGAAUUCCAAGUGUAGCGGUGAAAUGCGUAGAGAUUUGGAGGAACACCAGUGGCGAAGGCGCCUUUCGGGUCUGUAACUGACGCUGAGGCGCGAAAGCGUGGGGAGCAAACAGGAUUAGAUACCCUGGUAGUCCACGCCGUAAACGAUGAGUGCUAAGUGUUAGGGGGUUUCCGCCCCUUAGUGCUGCAGCUAACGCAUUAAGCACUCCGCCUGGGGAGUACGGUCGCAAGACUGAAACUCAAAGGAAUUGACGGGG